AGAGUUUGAUCCUGGCUCAGGAUGAACGCUGGCGGCGUGCUUAACACAUGCAAGUCGAGCGAAGCACUUGUAAUUGACUCUUCGGAUGAUUUUACUUGUGACUGAGCGGCGGACGGGUGAGUAACGCGUGGGUAACCUGCCUCAUACAGGGGGAUAACAGUUGGAAACGACUGCUAAUACCGCAUAAGCGCACGGUACCGCAUGGUACAGUGUGAAAAACUCCGGUGGUAUGAGAUGGACCCGCGUCUGAUUAGCUGGUUGGUGGGGUAACGGCCUACCAAGGCGACGAUCAGUAGCCGACCUGAGAGGGUGACCGGCCACAUUGGGACUGAGACACGGCCCAAACUCCUACGGGAGGCAGCAGUGGGGAAUAUUGCACAAUGGGGGAAACCCUGAUGCAGCAACGCCGCGUGAGUGAAGAAGUAUUUCGGUAUGUAAAGCUCUAUCAGCAGGGAAGAAAAUGACGGUACCUGACUAAGAAGC
rnacentral:rRNA from 1 species